UUAUUCGUGGACGCUCUUCCAUUAUUUAUUUAUAGUGGUAACUUUGUGCAUAAUUCAUGAGAUAUCUUAGCCGAACAACAUUUAAAUAUUAUCUCAUCAAAUUUACAGAAAUGAUAUUAACCGUGAAUACCUCCGCCGCCACCACCAUCACCUCCUCCGCCUACACCAACUCCGAUUGAUACAUGACCACUUCCACCACCUUUGACUGAUCCAUGACCACCUCCUUCACCUGAGCCACCACCUCCGCCUGAUCCAUGACCACCUCCUCCACCUGAUCCAUGACCACCUCCUCCACCUGAGCCACCACCUCCGCCUGAUCCAUGACCACCACCUCCACCUGAUCCAUGACCACCUCCUCCACCUGAGCCACCAUCUCCGCCUGAUCCAUGUCCGCUUCCACCAACUUUGCCAUGUCCACCUAUACCAACUCCGAUUGAUACGUGACCACUUCCACCACCUCCGCCUGAUCCAUGACCACCUCCGUGACCACUUCCAUGACCACCUCCAUGACCACCUCCUCCACCCGAACCACCACCUCCACCUGAUCCAUGACCGCCUCCAUGACCACCACCUCCGCCUGAUCCAUGACCGCCUCCAUGACCACCUCCUCCACCCGAACCACCACCUCCGCCUGACCACCUCCUCCACCCGAACCACCACCUCCGCCUGAUCCAUGACCGCCUCCAUGACCACCUCCUCCACCUGAGCCACCACCCCCACCUGAACCAUGACCACCUCCACCACCUGAUCCAUAACCUUUACCUGAACCAUGACCACCUCCACCACCUGAUCCAUAACCUUUACCUUUGCCAUGACCACCUCCUCCACCUGAGCCACCACCCCCACCUGAACCAUGACCACCACCUCCACCUGAGCCACCACCCCCACCUGAACCAUGACCACCUCCUCCACCUGAGCCACCACCCCCACCUGAUCCAUGACCACCUCCCCCGCCCGAGCCACCACCUCCGCCUGAUCCAUGACCGCCUCCACUACCGCCGCCACCGCCACCCCCUGAACCAUGGCCACCACCUCCUACACCUAUUCCGAUAUCUAUCCCUAGACCAAGACCUAUCAAUGACCUUGCAUAAGAGAGAUCCAACAUAAGAAGGAGAAAAAAGAAACCCAUAGUCCUGAACUUUGCCAUUGUCACUUUGUAUUCGAGAUACCAAUGGAGAUGAGAAAGAUCUUUGAUCAUGAAGUGGUCUAUGCGCAAUGACCCUAUUUAUAGCAAUAUUCAGCUAGCAUGUAUUGGAAGCACACCGAUUAUAUAUCCAACACUC
rnacentral:lncRNA from 1 species